UGAAAGUGAACUUGCCCAGUGAAACAUCAGGUGUGAUGAGACACACAAACAUGAAGAUGACUGUCAUGAGGAAGAAGUUUUCAUACAGAUCCCUGGAAACAGGAGGCAGGGCAGGCUGUGCAGGGCCACACGGAGAAGUACCAGGUUGGUCAGGAGGCAGAGGGAGCACAGGGGAAACAUGGACUCGAGUCUUCACUGGGGUUUCUGCUGGAAGAAAUGGCCAUGUGAAGAUACAAUGAGAGGAAGGCUGUCGGCACACCAGGAAAAGAGCCCUCACCAGACACUGGAUCUGCCAGCACCUUGAUCUUGAACUUUCAGCCUCCAGAACAUUGAGAAGUGAAUGCCUGUUGUUUAAACCAUCCAGCCUAUGAUACUUUGUUAUAGCAGAUCCAGUUGAAACAGAGGUCUAAAGAGUUGGGACCAUUCUCUGCAAUCAAUCUAGCACAGGGGUUGACAAAUCUGGCCUGCUUCCUGUUUUUGUAAAUAAAGUUUUAU
rnacentral:lncRNA from 10 species